UAGGGAAUCUUCCACAAUGGACGAAAGUCUGAUGGAGCAACGCCGCGUGAGNGAAGAAGGGUUUCGGCUCGUAAAACUCUGUUGUUAAAGAAGAACAUAUCUGAGAGUAACUGUUCAGGUAUUGACGGUAUUUAACCAGAAAGCCACGGCUAACUACGUGCCAA
rnacentral:rRNA from 1 species